CAAGACACACUACCACCUUCUAGGUAGGGUGCAAUGUACUCAUAGGCCUCUAGUCAUUCACUAAUUACACAUUUUCUGCAGCAAAUAAUCACUUCUUCUGGCUUUCCUAGAUUUCCUGUGUAUAUCUAUUCUAUCUCUAAAUUCCUUUUGUAUCUGUGUCAUCACAAAGCUAGUAUUUACAUUGAGUCCUUAAACACUUUUUCAUUCCUGGCUGUUCAGGUGUGAUAGAUCAGGGCCCCCCAAAUUGCUGCAGCUAUUUCCUUUUUGAAGAAUUUCCAGUGCUUCCUUUUAAUCCUUCCAGCACCUGCAUUACAUUCCCUUGUGGUAUUAUCAUCUCUGUCCAGUUCUGUAUCGCUACCGUCAAUUCUGUUGUUCAUCGACAAUCCUGAAACAUGUGGUCUUGGGUUUCAGCAACCAUAUCAUUACAUAAGCAGCAUUCAAUGUCUUGUAUUGGCACAUGUAGUUUCGAAAGUCUAAUCUUUCGUAAGCAAUCGACCAUGAGCAGCUAACCAAAGAAUCAUCCUGUGUUUCGGCUAAGGCUGUAUCCGAUCCCGGUUCUGGGUCUAUUUGGGUCUGUGGUUCCGAUUCUAGCGGUUUCGGUUCUGGCGGUUCCGGUUCUGGCGGUUCCGGACCCAGAACCACUACCAUCCUGUUCCGGGUACCAUCCGAUUCCGGUUCUGGCGGUUCUGGCGGUUAUGGCGGUUAUGGCGGUUCGGCGGUUCCCGGCGGUUCUGAAUUUUUUUUUUUUUUAUUUAAAA
rnacentral:lncRNA from 1 species